rnacentral:lncRNA from 1 species
GGGUGAUUGUAGCAGUACUUUUGGAAUCUGUUCAUUUAAAUGAGUUUUCAUCACAAUUCAGUUUUCAUGUUUGGAAAAUAACUGUAUAUGUGCAAGACAAUUUUUGGUCAUAUCUUGCUAUACCCUUAGAUUUCUGGACUCAAACCAAUCUCUGUGUGGUCUCGCUUAUUGAGAGCCACUGAUGUAUUCUGACAUCUGCUUCCCUUUAAUACAUAAUGGGGAAACUGGCUUGGAUAUAUAAUAGGUUUUUCUGUAGUCAGUUUAAUAAGGCAGAGGUAGAACUAGGCUAUGCAUCAUAUAGCUCCCUGCUUAGUGUUUUCAUGCUUUAAUUGCCUGGAUAUUUAAAAUGAACACAUUUUAAUGAAUCAGGGUCUACUCAUUAAAAUUAAAAAUGCCAUCCAAAUUUAUUUCUAGGUCUUUGAAGAAACUGGUUUUGAUAUCAAAGACUAUAUUUGUAAGGAUGAUUACAUUGAACUGAGAAUCAAUGACCAACUUGCUCGUUUGUACAUCAUUCCAGGAAUUCCAAAAGACACAAAAUUUAACCCCAAAACCAGAAGAGAAAUUCGGAACAUUGAGUGGUUCUCCAUUGAGAAAUUACCCUGUCACAGAAAUGAUAUGACCCCCAAAUCCAAACUUGGUUUGGCACCGAACAAAUUUUUUAUGGCCAUUCCCUUUAUCAGGUAUAUUUAUAUUUUUUGAAAUAUAAAACCUUCAUGUUCUGGUGUUUUAGAUUUUAAAAGUGAAUUUUCAAUGUUUACAUAGGCCAUUAAGGGACUGGCUUUCUCGAAGAUUUGGGGAUUCCUCAGACAGUGACAAUGGAUUUUCCUCAGCUGGUAGCACACCAGCCAAAGCCACUGUGGAAAAAUUGAGUCGAACCAAAUUCCGCCACAGCCAGCAAUUAUUUCCUGAAGGUUCUCCUGGAGACCAGUGGGUAAAGCACAGGCAGCCAGUGCAGCAAAAGCCAUACAACAGCCAUUCUGAAAUGUCUGACCUAUUAAAAGCAAAGAAUCAGAGUAUGAGGGGAAAUGGCAGAAAACAGUAUCAAGACUCACCUAAUCAAAAGAAAAGAACUAAUGGGACCCACAGUCAGCCAGCGAAGCAGCAGAAUUUGUUGAUGGUAAGAGUUAAAGAUCCAGGAUGUUGUAGGCAGUCCUUCCUUUACAGAAGUGGAGCAAGGUCAUUGUUCCAGCACAUUAAUGUUGUUGGGUUUGUGCUUGUUUUAAGUGAUACAGUGACUGGAUUUUUAAUGGAAGUAAAUUAUGUACCAUUAUAUUCAUUCACUAAAAAUCUCUUUGGCCACUCUUAA